rnacentral:lncRNA from 1 species
GCCACUAGCAGACAUCCUACCUGUCAAGGAGUAACCAUUCCUAAGACUGAGAAAGAAAGAUCCCUGACAAUAGCAUUUGAGGCCUUUCUGCCUCCAGUACUGCCCAAGGCCUGCUGCUUUCUUAGACUUCCAUAUUUCAUUUCCUAGACAAUAAAUUUUCUAUUUGAAGCUACUUUGAAUCAGGCUCCUGUCUCUUGCAUCCAAAAUGUCCUAACCAAAUGAAGGAGAGUUCUCUGAAGCCAGCUGCUCAAUAGUGGGAGGAAAUUUCCUUAAUAGUGGGAGUUCAGCCUCCUACAUGAAACCUUAUGGAACAACCCCUGGAUUCAGGACUAUUUUUAGCUGCCACAAUUGCCUGGGGAAGGCCGCCGGCCUGGGCACAACCAAACAGGGUCAGCUCCUACCUCUGCCUGCAGCAGCCUCUGACGCAGGCCUGGAAUCUGGGUAAGUAAGACAAAGGCUCUGCUCUUGCUCCCCUGGUGCAGAACAGGAAGACAGACCUAUAAAUAAAUGAGUGCAUUGAAUGUUACAUUAGCCAUGAUAAUGAUCUACACAGGAGAAAGUGCAAAAGCAAGAGAGAGAGAGAGAGAGAGAGAGAGAGAGAGCGCAGUCAUUUCCCUAGUGGUGAGUGAGCGGUGAAGUGGCUGUUGGUAAAAGUUCUCGGGAGGAGGCUAAGCUGAGGUGCACGAGAAGGUGUUUUCCAGCUGGAGGAUAGGGUUGGGAAUAGCAUUCAAGAGACAGGAACCUGUGCACAUCAAGCACAGAGACAUCUAGAAGCGACACAGGACAGAAACAUUGCAAACUGUUUGGCCUGGCUGGAGCACAGGGUCCAAGACGGAUAGACACAGGAAAACCUGGCAGGACCCAGUCCAGGAAAAGCCUAGUGGGAGUAAGGAUUUGAUCCAAGAAAAUGGGACCGUUGAAGGGUUUUAAGGAGCAAGGCAGCAUUCAUUCCAACAUUCAUAACCAGUAAUUAAAAAAAAAAUUCUAAGUUUCAUUUUUUGAGCUUUUUAAUUGUGUAAGAGACAUAACUUAAAAUUCCCAUCUUUAC